GCAUUGCAUUGUUUAUACAUGAUUUUUUAGUUUCUACGUGUGUACACCAACGCACGAUUUUGCAAAAGUGUGACCAAAACCCACAAAACUCUCCUCCACCGCUGAAACCCUCCUCCCCGAAACUCAUCCGCCAAAACCCAUCUCCUCCAUCUGCCUGCCCUCCCUACACUCGUCCCCAGCUCCAAUCCCAACCCUCUCCCCGGACUCCUUCCCCGUCCCUUCGCCGCCGCAGCCAUGGCGCAGAAGAUCGGCAAAUCCUUCCGCCGGCCAGGCACCCCCUCCCUCGCCCGGGUCUAUGCCGACAACAACGUCCAGCACCCCAAAAAUUACUGGGACUAUGAAUCGCUCACCGUUCAAUGGGGGGAACAAGAUGAUUACGAAGUCUCCUACAGUAUAGAUGCGAGACCCGAUAGGGUUUAUUGAAACUAGGCAAUAGCUUUUAGCGUUGAAGCCAAGCCACCACAUGAAUUGGAUUGGGUUUGUUGUUGCACACCAUUUGAAUUCGAAGUAAUAACUAUCUACUUGCUUGUUGGAUCUAUAAUUGAAUCAGGAGGCUUUAGCUUUAUUAGUGAAAUGGUGCAGGUAAGUUACUUUCACUUUUCUUGUAAUGCAACAAACAAUGUUGAUUUACUUUGAUGGCUCAAUAUUGUAUCCAAAAACUUAUCUUGUGUGUUUACCAAUGCUAUUGGUAUCUAACUAUAAUAAUCCACUUCCAUAUAUUAAAAGAAACAAAUUCUGCUCUAAUAUUUUUUUUUUCUUGGGCAAACUUUAGUCUCGACUGUGAAAUUAGCUUAUGAUGAAAUCCAACAAACAUUGCUUUGAAGCAACAUUAAGAGAAAUUUGCAAACAUCUUGUGGUAGUAAUUAACAUUAAUAUUUUUUUGUUAUGUUAUAUGAUUUUAUCCUACUUGUCGAGCUUUUAUUAGGAUAUUUACUACUAUUUUAUGUUGUUUGUACUUUUUAGAAAUCAUCUUUGGCAUUGCUGUAUCUAGGUUGAAACAGUAGAUCAGUAUGGUGUAAUCUUUCUUCGUUUUUGCUUUGGGCUUGGAAUUCUCCAUAAGAUUAGGGUUGUCGUGUUGUGACUAUUGGUGGAGGAUUUCUCCAAAUGCUACUAUUCAUGUGCUUAUGCGGUGUAAUUGCAUCUUGUUAAAGCAACUAUUGGGAGGUACAAGAAAGCUUGUAAUGAGAUCCCACCAACUAUUGGCAGUAUUAAAGAACUUGAGAAGUUGGGCCCAAAGAAAGGUGUCAUAGGUUAGUCAUGAAGGAUGUUUUACAAAAUUUAGUGGACGAUGAUCUUGUUACAAAGCACUUCUAUGAGUUCAUUUCCCUUCAUACAAUCUAAGGACUUUUUGCUUUUAUAUAGACUUAAUAUGGAUACAAAGUUAAUUUAUGAAUUAUGUGUACAUAUUUCUGUUUAAAUUGUAUGAAGUUGGAUCAUUUGCUAAAUAAUUGUAUUUUAAAAAAGAUUGUGAAUACUCAGAUGUUUUGUUUGUGGAUA